GUUGAGUAAUGCAUUAAUGCUUAAUUGUCUAAUACUUUAUUUUAUAUUGUUUUCUUACGGAUAAAGUGGUUAAUGCCACUUAAUUAUUAAUUCUAUCCACGUAAGUACUAAACGCCAUACAAUUUAUCCUUAAUGAGAUCAACAUAUAGAUGAAGGGAAUAGACGUGAAGGGUCAAAUUAUACUUGAAAAAUCUGGAAAAGUGGGUCUGAAAUCGAUCCAGAUCCAAAAAAUGUUUUACAAUGCGCCAGUCAGAAAACACUAAUUAUUGCUCACUAGAUAGCUCGAAAAUACUUCCGCUGUAUUAUUUUAUAAAACUUUUCAGAAAUUGAUUAAUUAAAGGUCAUUCAUAUUAUAUUGAUUGUUCUUCAAAUCUGCAAAUCAUGGCCAGAUGGCCGCGGGUCCCGGAUCCUUCAGGAUGGAACCAUUCUGAAAGAUCCGGGUUCAAUUCUUAGUUUCAUAUUUCCAGAUAUUUUACAAGAGGUUUCUGGGCCCUGCCUGUUAAACUUAUUCUCCACCCGAUGACUGACCAAACUAGAGUUGUGGGCGAACCGUGAUGGGAACAAAAUCCUUGCUGCUUAGUAAUCACGAAAUGGAAACCGGCUACAUUAAACGUCAUAUGUAAAACAAAGCUCUGUAGAUCAUUGAUUACUGACCGUUUCUUUAGGAUAACUGCAUAGAAUUAUGCCGCAUUUCCACCGUGGAAAAGCCAGAUUUAAUUCUAUCCCUAUUUUCACAUUUUUUAUGAGCAGUCUACAUCUGAUCAGUUGAUCUUGUCCUUCAUCUGACGGCCAACUGCAUCAAUAAUGUGGCGAUUAGUGGCGAACUCUGAAAGAGCUUCGCAUUUAAAUUAAUAUUCGAGAUGACAGAAAGCAGUAUCAAGGCUUAGGGAAAAAGCUCGCUAUUCUAAAACGUUUCUCAAAGCAAUGAUCCAUAGAUUGAUACUGCUGGAGCCAUUAAAUGUCCAACGCAACAGGUUGCCACAAAAAUGCUUUAAGAAGCAAAACAUUAAAACCAUAGUUCAAAGAAUAUGUUUCAAUGACUACAUAGUAAUACAUACUAUCGGUAACAUUAUGCCAUUCUGUACAUGCUAUCGAGCCGUAUAUAGAGGAGGUAGUAAUACACGCUUCAGUGCGUAUAUGUAUGGGUCUGUACUCAUCCUGAAAAACUGGAGAUGUGCAACUCCAGCUUUUUAGAUAUGAAAAACUUGAAGUAUGGUAUUGAACUCCAUUCUUCAACUUUCUGGUUUACCCAUCAUGGAUGUCCAGCCC
rnacentral:lncRNA from 1 species